rnacentral:rRNA from 1 species
UACGUAGGGGGCAAGCGUUGUCCGGAAUCAUUGGGCGUAAAGAGCGUGUAGGCGGCCCGGUAAGUCCGCUGUGAAAGUCCAGGGCUCAACCCUGGGAUGCCGGUGGAUACUGUCGGGCUCGAGUCCGGAAGAGGAGUGUGGAAUUCCUGGUGUAGCGGUGAAAUGCGCAGAUAUCAGGAGGAACACCAAUGGCGAAGGCAGCACUCUGGGGACGUGACUGACGCUGAGACGCGAAAGCGUGGG